UCUCAUGUUAAUGCCAGCUCCCUCUACCACCCCUCCUCCCCAAGCUCUAUAAUUUUGUGGGUUUUUAAAAAAACCCAAGUGAGGCUAAUUUGAGCCUAUUCCUUGAUUAAAAACAACAAAAUUGAUCAAUGUCUUCCACGGCGAUGCCUCAGAGUUAUAUCUUCCUUACCUGUUAUGCCAGUGGAGCCUACACUUAGGGUUGGAUCAGUGUCUCCAAGGUGCUAAAGAUCCUAGUGAUAGGACAAAGAGGAGGCUUGGGUUUCUUUUCAGACAAACCACAACAGCAAACUCCAGCACAGCAACGACUCCCAGAAUCUGAAUGCAUUUGAGCAGGAAGGACUUAAAGCAUUGCUGCCUGCCUUUCAUCCUACAGAGAAGAAGUCUGGAACCCAUGGGAUACAAAAGGAACAAACAACUCAUUACCAGUGUGAGACUCCUUCUGGAUCUAAGACAAUCCCCACCAUGUAACUGUCUUUCUACAACAGGGUAAAGCCACAUUGACCUGUUCCUUCUCUAAGGUGGGUGUAAUGAUGCAUGCUAAGAAUUGUAGAGACAGGAGGUCAAGGUCGUCUUUGGCUGUAUAUCAAGUUGGAAACCAGCCUAGACAACAUGAGAGCUCAUCUUAUUAAUAAAUUAACCAAUUUUAAAAGCCUUCCUAACAACAGGAAUGACUCAAGUUAGACUUACUAGAGUGAAGAAACAAAGACUACCCAUAAGAAGAGUUAACCACAGAUGCAGAGGAAGUCAGGCCACGGAGUACUUUAGCUGACCCUAGACUUGAUGAUUUAUGGAGAUAAGAGUAAAAACUGAGGAUAGAGUAAAGAACUGGGAAUGGAUAGAAUUUGAAAAGCAAGACGGGUGUACACCAACUGAUAAAAGGAAAGGCAAGCAGUGAUCUCUUCUGUCACCUUUGGGAUCUACUGAGCUCACCUUGGUAAUGGACUUCUCUACUAGCACACGUUUGAGCCUGCUAGCAACCACGAUGCCUGCGGUGGGAGAUGAACAUUUUGUGGUGAUACGUAGCUUGUGCUAAUAAAGUCAGUAGAAAAGGUCAGAGAACGGAGCUUGCCAUUAGCUAACCAUAGAGGCCUGGAGGUCUACAGACAGGCAGGAAGUGAGCUAGUUGGACACAAACAGGUUAUAAACAGGGAGAAACAGGAACUCGCUCUCUUGUCUGCUGAGAUGCUAAGGAGGUAGGUGUGGCUGCAGCUUGCUCCUUCUCUCUGGGGUCUCAGCAUUUUCCUCUAUAUCUGACUCCAAGUUUUUAGUUCUUAGACCAAUUAAGAGCUCCAUUUACACAUUUCCCCCUAAGUUGACUGUCUGAAGGACAAAGCCCUCACUUCAACACUCCCCAUGCACUUCUGUAGUUUUUGUGGAAGCCUUAAUAAAAAGCAGCCAUAGGGGUUGGCAUGGCAGUGCAAGCCUCCAAUCCCAACACAGAAGAUAUUGACCCUGGCCUAUACAUGAAGGCUCUACAGCAAGUAAACAAAUAGGCAUUGUAAGUGUCCCUGCCUUUGUGAUCAAGAAUAUUUGCACCACAUAUGGUAACAUCUUCUCUUGUGGCUCUUGCUUUUAGGUCUAGGAAAGAUAGUUUUCUGAAUUUUUACACAGUGAGAUCCUUCAGCUAUUGAAGCACAGCACCUUCUUUCUCUCUUGUUUGCCAUUUCUUACAUUUCUACUAAAGGUGACAACCUGGUUUAGAAGAGCCAACCGGAACUGUUGAAAGUUACUCUCCCCACUAGAGGGCAAUGCAGACCAAGAACCGAGUAUUUUUGUACAAAUUCCAGUGGGUAACAGCAGGGGGCACCCAAAAGCCAUUUUGACUCCCCAAAUGCAGCAUACCAAAAAUCUCUAACCUAUGUCUCUGCCCUUGUGGCUGGUAACUAAGGCAGGGGUUAGAACCUUUUUUGUAAACAAUAAAAAUCGGGAGGGGAGAGAAGG